UGAGUGAUUCAGGCUAUUUUCCUUGAUAAACAUGAUGGGCUCCAUGUUGACCUGUAAAGGAUGGGAAAGUAGAUUGUGCUACCUCAUUUGCCACUGCGGAAGCAACCCAAACUCCACCUGGGACCACUCAUCUCCUUACCAUCUUCAGCUGCAGGAAAGCAGUGUUUGGAGGGAUUUAGCAGUUGUGGACCAUGGUUUCUGUUUCAGAUGGAUUAGGUGGCAAGAGUUUGGGGGUAAGCCAGGAAGAAGUUGUACCCUGAGGACUGGAAAGCAGAGGCACCAGGAAAAGGCCUUGUAG
rnacentral:lncRNA from 1 species